rnacentral:rRNA from 4 species
UACGGAGGAUCCAAGCGUUAUCCGGAAUCAUUGGGUUUAAAGGGUCCGUAGGCGGUUUAGUAAGUCAGUGGUGAAAGCCCAUCGCUCAACGGUGGAACGGCCAUUGAUACUGCUAGACUUGAAUUAUUAGGAAGUAACUAGAAUAUGUAGUGUAGCGGUGAAAUGCUUAGAGAUUACAUGGAAUACCAAUUGCGAAGGCAGGUUACUACUAAUGGAUUGACGCUGAUGGACGAAAGCGUGGGUAGCGAACAGG